UCCAGGGUAGCUUAGUGGACAUGUCAUCUGCCCGGUAAGCGGAACAUUGUGGGUUCGAUUCCCAUCCCUGGAC
rnacentral:tRNA from 1 species